GGGCAAUGGUGAUUACUGAUUAGGGAUCAAUCCCAUCGAGAAUACAAAGCACAUUAACUCAAUGAUUAAACAGCAUAUAAACCAUUACAGAAACCCAUGAAAUUACAAAGCGCAAUUGCUUCAACAAUAACCAUAGUGCCAGGCUUACAGAAUUAGAAUGCAGAUACAUGUCAAGGUCAAUCUAGAGAAAAAUCUUUUCUAUGAUACAGCCUGGAAUGUUUUGGUUGGUUAUGAAUCAUGCAGAGGAAAGUGUACUCAGGUUGGCAUCCGCCGUGAAAGUGGAGUAAAACAUAGAAAAUAGCCCCAGUUAAGGAAUAUAUGGAAUGUGCUUGUUCUUCAAUAGUUACAAAAGAAAAUCUGAGAAGUUGCUUAUAUUUUUUUUUCUUCUUAUAAUCUUCAGGUCCCAAUAAAAUGUACAGCAUGUGGAAAGAGGUGUUUCUUAGGCUUGCACAUAGACAUGACUUUUGCUACAUGUUUGUGAGAAGAUACUUGCAUUAUGCAAGAUAAUUCAUCAUAGGUUCCUAGAAAAUAGUACUCCCUUUGUACUAAAGCAGCGACAAUUAAUAUGGAUCAGAGGGAGUAAUAUAUAUUAACAAUAGAAAUAAGGAAGCUAAGAUUGACUACAUGCAUGAGAUAAGUUCCAAGCAAAUUUACCUUGCGAGCUUCAGUGUCCUUCCAAACAUUGCCUGCAGAUCCAAGAACGACAACAACUGCAAGUUGAAAUAAGAAUAUAGCAGCAGUAAGCUUAUCAAUCAUUGCAUCCAUAGCAGUAAGCUUGGGCUCUGGGACUCCCCUACUCAUGCCCAACUUAGUCUCAUUGCCUGCAAAGUUGAGAUAAAAAAAUGGUUGGCCUUAUAAUCUCAAGAGAAAUAAAAUAUCAAGGUAAUAUAAACAUUCUCAAUAUUGUCAUAUGGAUCAGUCAGGAUUAGAAUAGAAAACCGUGCACCUGGUUCCACGCUCAUAUCAAUGUAAUUAGUGUUAAACUCUAUCUUACUAAUCCUAUGUCCUAUAUAUCUAAGUAAGUGAUCCCAUUUAAAUGCACAUGCAAGCCAUCCCCAUCAUCAAGCGCAUGCAACACUUCCACUUUUCACUUUUCACUUUCCACCACAUGCAAGCCACCCACAUCAUCAAGCGCAUGCAACCCUUUCACUUUUCACUUUCCACUUUCCACCAUAUGCAAGCCCUCCACAUCAUCAAGCACAUUCAAGCCCUCCAAAUCAUCAUCUUUUUCAGCAACAAAUAAUUGAACUUGAAUGUCACAAAGGCAAUAUAACAUGCAUCCACACUCUAUUUACCUCUAGUUUUGUUACUGUUCAUAUGGUGAGAACGUGGUGCGGUAUUCAGUGGUGGAGCUACGUUGAAGCAAAACUGGGCCAUGGUCCGCCCAGUUUUUCUGCAACAGACUGGGCCUAAGGAUAAAUCUGGGCCAUAAUUGACAGAAAGUUGGGCCUCGCUUCAGGCUGGCCCGCCCAUGCCUUUGAAUGUAGCUCUACCGCUAGCAGUAUAAUUCUCAUGUAUUCCAAUUUUAUUUUGGAUAAUUUCAUCGCUAUAAAUUUCCGCACCAGGGUGUUCUUUAGUAGAUGCAGUUUUUCCUUCAAACAUACAUUGUCCUCCAGACAAAACUGAGUAUGAGCCGAUACUAACACUGACGCAAAAGUGUAAGAAAAACAUACUACAUGUUUCAACUACAAUCU
rnacentral:lncRNA from 1 species